AGGUCAUUUUGGAACAGAUUUUCCAGAAGAGGAAACCCUAAUACUAUGAACAUGAAUGUAAAUUACAGUUUAAAUAAUGACAGCGUCACCUGUGGUAAAUCUACCCCCAAACCAC